rnacentral:rRNA from 1 species
CCUACGGGUGGCAGCAGUCGAGAAUCAUUCACAAUGGGGGCAACCCUGAUGGUGCGACGCCGCGUGGGGGAAUGAAGGUCUUCGGAUUGUAAACCCCUGUCAUGUGGGAGCAAAUCAAAAAGAUAGUACCACAAGAGGAAGAGACGGCUAACUCUGGGCCAGCAGCCGCGGUAAUACAGAGGUCUCAAGCGCUGUUCGGAAUCACUGGGCGUAAAGCGUGCGUAGGCUGUUUCGUAAGUCGUGUGUGAAAGGCGCGGGCUCAACCCGCGGACGGCACAUGAUACUGCGAGACUAGAGUAAGGGAGGGGGAACCGGAAUGCUCGGUGUAGCAGUGAAAUGCGUAGAUAUCGAGAGGAACACUCGUGGCGAAGGCGGGUUCCUGGACAUUAACUGACGCUGAGGCACGAAGGCCAGGGGAGCGAAAGGGAUUAGAUACCCGGGUAGUC